GUAGUCAUAUGCUUGUCUCAAAGAUUAAGCCAUGCAUGUCUAAGUAUAAGCAAUUAUACCGUGAAACUGCGAAUGGCUCAUUAAAUCAGUUAUCGUUUAUUUGAUAGUACCUUACUACUUGGAUAACCGUGGUAAUUCUAGAGCUAAUACAUGCUGAAAACCCCAACUUCGGAAGGGGUGUAUUUAUUAGAUAAAAAACCAAUGCCCUUCGGGGCUCCUUGGUGAUUCAUAAUAACUUCUCAGAUCGCAUGGCCUUGCGCCGGCGACGGUUCAUUCAAAUUUCUGCCCUAUCAACUUUCGAUGGUAAGGUAUUGGCUUACCAUGGUUUCAACGGGUAACGGGGAAUUAGGGUUCGAUUCCGGAGAGGGAGCCUGAGAAACGGCUACCACAUCCAAGGAAGGCAGCAGGCGCGCAAAUUACCCAAUCCCGACACGGGGAGGUAGUGACAAUAAAUACUGAUACAGGGCUCUUUUGGGUCUUGUAAUUGGAGUGAGUACAAUUUAAACCUCUUAACGAGGAACAAUUGGAGGGCAAGUCUGGUGCCAGCAGCC
rnacentral:rRNA from 1 species